ACAGAACCCUCCCCCCCCCGCCCCACGUCGCGUUGACACACAUCAGCUCGAGUCUGGAAUGCGAGAUCAAGGCGUGCGCGCCCCGCUGAGCGGUGGGUUUGGUCCCCGCCCCCCUCGCCCUGCAAGUAAAUACAGUUUCUGUAUUGCGGUAACUCUGAAAAGGCAAAACCGAAACCUGGUGUGUAUAGCAGUGACCCGGGCUACCAGAGACAGUUUUAAGGAACUUGGCUGUCAGGAGGCAGACCAUACAUUGAUAUUCAAGGCCAUUGAUGCUAGUGGUUUCGGCGCCCUCUGUUGUAUUUUUGCAUCCUACAAAGGCUGACUAGCUCUUCAGCCCUGUAGGUUUGCUUCUUCUGGAAGGUAAGACUCUGCAGAACUCUGAGCGCCACUGUCUGCCGCAGUGGCCCACGGGGGCUGCUCCAAGGAAGGGCUCCAGUGGUCAACCCCCAGGUCGUGAGUUGAAGAUGCAAUCGAUUAAUGUAAAGACACCUUAAACUUUUAAGAUUUGUUCGGGACAGCCUCUGGAGCACCAAACCCAGGCUCUGGGAACAGGAGAGAAGGCACAGUCUUUGGCCUGCCCAUGUUCCCAUGGCCAGAGUCCAGCACCUUGUUUCUCGAAGCAACCAGGAAAAUGCUCUCUCAACUGUAGGAUGCUGGCACGCGUGAGAAAGGUCCUCUCCAGCUUUCUAUCCACGACAACAAACUUGAUCCUGAAGAGUCCAAGCACAUCACUUGCUGCAGUCCUCCCUUCAACUAGCAUCGAUGAGAUGAUGCCAUUGUAAGCCUGGCACUGGAAGGCAAGGAGACCACAUGCACUUACUUUGAAUUUCUAGUUCUCUAAAGAAAGAAAUUGAAUGGUGCUAAUCCAAAGGGCUUCUGGCCUUGGAUUCCAUCACUCUGGUCCAAUCAGUUGCAGAAGGAAGUCACAUCAUGUGACUUCAGACCAUCAGUGGAGCUGUAAGCAAGCAAAAUCUGAAGUGCUAUCCUCAGAAUAUGGCCAUGUCUAUUCCUUGAUAUGCCAGCUUAUUGAUAGGCAGAGCUGUGACAGUCACUCUACAUCCUGCAAAGUCAAAGUUUCCUGAAAGACUCAUAAAAGCCACAAAAAUCCUACUGAAAUGUAAGGAGUUCUAAUGUCCUUCCUCCUGGUGUGACUUCACGAGACUCUGCAUGUUGUUUUCCAUGAUGACAAACAUCCUGUACAGGCCAUUUACAAACAUGAAAUGAUCUGGUCUGUCCACAUCCUGAUGGCUGGAGCUUCGUCACAUGAGCACAACAGCAGGAGCCAUGUGCCUGAUGCCGUACCAGCACAUCAUCUCCAUAGCCUCGAUGUCGCCAUAACUUUACUCAACCUUCCAGCAGCCUAAUGACUCAACUCUGUUGUUACCCAAUUUCACCGAGACCACAGCUAAACAAGGGCUUCCCAGUAGGAGAGAGAACCAGGGCAGAAACCAGGCAGGCCACACCAGCCUCCUACCCUUCUUCCCUGGACUGAGAACUGUGUGCCAAUCAUAUAUUUAAGUCAUUCACCCAGGUAACAUCUGAAUCCAUAAUCCAUGAAGACUAUGGUGGCUGUUUUGCAGAGAAGGAAGAGUGGUGAGCAGAACAUAACCCUUGCUUGUUGAGACACCAUCUGGGGGAGACAUGAUGCAGAGAAAUGCUUAAAUGGGAUGUGGAAGAAAACAGUUUCACACAGAUGUUCUAGCUGAGGGCUAUGCCUAAAAAAACAGAUGAACAAUCAGGAAAGUUGAAGCCAAAAAGAUGUCUUAGACAGUAUCUGCUAACCACUGCUAGAGUAGACAGCCAGCUAUCACUGAACCCAUCUCUUCUGUCAAUGAACUACCUCUCCCAGCAGCAUUGGGGAGGUGUGGGUAACCAGAUGACUUUGUUCUCAUUGGAGAAAGCAAUUGAGACAGACACUUUGCUGCCCACCUGGCUCAUCAAAACGGUCCACAGGGCUCCCAUGCCCUUUCCUUUCCAGCUCAUAAGAACAGAAAAGCCCCAUGAGAACCCAGAGGCUGUCGAAGAUGGCACUGAAAAUAACAGAGACUUACAGAAGGAGCUAGGAUAAGCCAAUAAUGUCUUGGUGGACAACUGUUAGGAUGGCUUAUAGAUUUCUACAAGAAUGAGAACAAAGCCAGGCAUGGCGAUGCAUGCCUUUAAUCUCAGCACUUGGGAGGCAGAGGCAGGUGGAUCUCUGAGUGUGAGGCCAACCUGGUCUACAGAGUGAGUUUCAGGAAUAGUCAGGUGCCCACAGAGAAAGCCUGUCUCAAAAAACCAAAUACCAAGCAAGAAUGAGAACAAAUGUUGACCUGUUGAACGGAUGAGAUUUUGAGUGCUGUGUUUUAAGAAGCUAGCACUUCCUAACCCAACCACUUUUCAACUUUGGGUCAUGCUAAAAUCAAAUAUGGGGUUUAUUAGACAUCAAGAUCUCUUGAGCUUGGCCCAAAUUUCCUGACCCAGUAAAUUUAGUAUGUGGUCAGAGUAUACACACCUUGCAAAAUCAAUCACAAAGAUUUUGAUGUAAGCUCUGGUGAGCAGCCACCUUAGAUGUAACCAAUACACAGCUAUUCUUGUAGAACAUUAACUAACUUUGGAGAUCAAACAGAAUGCUCAUUUGCAUAUGCAUUCCCCUCUUCUACCGGUGAGGUCAACCCAGGUCCUCUUCUCCACCACCAAACCACAGUUUCUGGGUGCUAAGAGUUGAUCCUGACCCACCCCACCCCCAGGCCAUUAGCCUCACUGCAGGUGUCCUCUGCUUUGCUGUCUGAUGACCCAGCUAGAGAUGACUCCCCUGCUUCAGUGGAAGCUUAGCAGUUGGGAGAGGAUCCAGAGCUGCACUUGCCUCCAGGCAGGUAGCUGGCUUCUCAGAGCCUUUCUCUGCUGUGGGACCCUGAAUGCUGCGAAUAUGUGUUUUUCUCACUAGUUGAAAAUAAAGCUGCUUUGACCUAUGGCAAGGCAGAACAGAGCCAGGCAGGAAAUCCAUGCAGAGCAUGAUAAGAAGGAUAGAGUCUGGGGGACACCAGCCAGCCACGGAGGAAGAAGACAUGUAAAAAAUAAGGUAACAAACCAGGAACCACAUGGCAAAGCAUAGAUAAAAAAUAUGGGUUAAUUUUAAUGUAAGAGCUAACUAGUAAUAAGCCUGAGCUAUCAACCAAGCAA